UAUCUUCUUCUUUUUA
rnacentral:sRNA from 1 species